rnacentral:rRNA from 1 species
GGUUAAGCGACUAAGCGUACACGGUGGAUGCCCUGGCAGUCAGAGGCGAUGAAGGGCGUGCUAAUCUGCGAUAAGCGCCGGUAAGGUGAUAUGAACCGUUAUAACCGGCGAUACCCGAAUGGGGAAACCCAGUGUGACUCGUCACACUAUCAUUAACUGAAUCCAUAGGUUAAUGAGGCGAACCGGGGGAACUGAAACAUCUAAGUACCCCGAGGAAAAGAAAUCAACCGAGAUUCCCCCAGUAGCGGCGAGCGAACGGGGAGGAGCCCAGAGCCUGAAUCAGCAUGUGUGUUAGUGGAAGCGUCUGGAAAGGCGCGCGAUACAGGGUGACAGCCCCGUACACAAAAGCGCAUGUGCUGUGAGCUCGAUGAGUAGGGCGGGACACGUGGUAUCCUGUCUGAAUAUGGGGGGACCAUCCUCCAAGGCUAAAUACUCCUGACUGACCGAUAGUGAACCAGUACCGUGAGGGAAAGGCGAAAAGAACCCCGGCGAGGGGAGUGAAAAAGAACCUGAAACCGUGUACGUACAAGCAGUGGGAGCCCCACCACCAAAGCAUUUGCUGUACCGCGUUGACGGAGCGAAGCGACGUCAAACCGAUAAAACAGCAGUGUAAAGUGAGCCGCAGGGCGCUUUGCGCGACAGCGCAAAGGCAGGCGGUUUCGCGUAGCGAAAGCGAAUGCUUUGGGGUGGGGUGACUGCGUACCUUUUGUAUAAUGGGUCAGCGACUUAUAUUCUGUAGCAAGGUUAACCGAAUAGGGGAGCCGGAGGGAAACCGAGUCUUAAC